rnacentral:rRNA from 1 species
AUGCAUCCUCCACCUUCUUGCUCACAGGCUUCCCCGGCGGCCAAUGCCGCCUCCAAGAGCCCUAAUCCCCGCGCUCUUACCGCCGAUGAGGAUGACCCAGACCUGCCCCCACGGGAGGCGCCCCCGGGGAUCCCUGAACUGCUGCACCACCGGAACCGCGCGGGGGCGGCGGAGCGCCUCCCUGCCAUCCGCGCCAACCUCCGCCUCCUCCCCCCGCCCGCCGCCCCGGCCCCGUCCCCCGCGAGCGACGCCGGCCUCCGCGCGCUCGGCCUCCUCAGCUUCGUCCAUCUGGACCUCUCGCCUUCCCCAUCCUCCGGAGGCAUGCGCAGCGACCUCGUCACGGCGCUAAUUGCCAACUAUCUCCCCACACUUGAGUGGAGCUACGCACGAGGCGCCGGCUUCGAGAUCUCCCGCGGUACCUUUGCCGCCGCGCUCUGCCUCCCGGCCCCGCGAAGCACCGCGUCCGUCCAUCACGAGCCCCCGUCCGGCGUCGACCCCGCCGCCGUGGCCUCCGCCGCGUCGGAGUUCAUGGAGGCGUACAUCAUGACGCCGUUAGCGGCCACCAACAAGGGGAAGCUGCCCACCUAUGUCGAGUCAGCGGUGCGGAAGGUGAAGGAUGGGAUGGCGCAUACCGUCGACUGGACAGCUCUACUCUGGCGCCUUGUGGAGAAGGAGGUGUUCGAGCUGAGGAGGGGGAAGAGAACCGAUUGGGAGUGCUACUACGGCGCAUACCUGCACAGGCUCAUCUGGGUGCAGAGGCCGCACCUCUUCUGGCCACCACCCGUCGCGCCAUCGGAGCAAGCGGCAUUGGUCGACAAGAAUCAGCAGCUCCGUUCAGAGUUGGAGUCCAAGAUGCAGGAGUAUGAGGUGAGGUCAGAGCUGCUUCAAGCGAGGUCUGUGGAGGUUGAGGCGAAAUCAAGGCAACUUGAUUCUCUAGCUGAGCGGCAUCAUCAUGAAAUGAGGAACCUCGAGCAAGAUAUGAAAAAGCAACUUGAUGCUCUAGCUGAGCGGCAUCGCCAUGACAUGAGGAACCUCGAGCAAGAGAAAAGGCAACUUGAUGCUCUAGCAGAGCGGCAUCACCAUGACAUGAGGAACCUCGAGCAAGAUAAGAAAACGCAACUUGAUUCUCUAGCAGAGCGGCAUCACCAUGACAUGAGGAACCUCGAGCAAGAUAAGAAAAGGCAACUUGAUGCUCUAGCUGAGCGGCAUCACCAUGAGAUGAGGAACCUCGAGCAAGAUAAGAAAAAGCAACUUGAUGCUCUAGCUGAACGGCAUCACCAUGACAUGAGGAACCUCGAGCAAGAUAACAAAACGCAACUUGAUUCUCUAGCUGCACAGUAUCACCAUGACAUGAGGAACCUCGAGCAAGAUAAGAAAAGGUUGCAGGAUGAGGUGCACACAGUCAAGCUGUUGAACCAGGUUCUGCUUUCCAAGGAAACAGAGAGCAAUGAUGAAGCACAGCGAGCUCUGGAAGAACUGGCUUAUGUGAGCAAGCAGCUAGAAGAGUUAAAGGAUGAGAUGCACGCAGUGGAGUCAUUUAACGAGGCUCUGGUUGAGAAUGAAAUAAAAAGAAACUCUGAACUUCAACGAGAAGAGCAAGAGGUGAUAGAUGUGAGAAAGCAGCUAGCACAUUUACAGGAGGAGAUGCACGCCAUUGAACUGCUCAACCAGGUCAUGGAUGCCAAGGGAAAAGAAAACAAUGAUGAAUUGCAAAGGGUACGGAACGAGCUAGCACAUGUAAGCAAGCGACUAGCGGAUUUACAAGACGAGAUGUCCAUAAUGGAUUCAGUCAACAAAGCUCUAAUAGUUGCCAAGGAAAGAGAAAGCAAAGACGAGUUGCAAGAUAUCCGGAAAAAAAUGAAAGAUCUAAGCGAUGAGCGUGAAGGGCUAGAGUCAGACAACAAGGUUCUGACAACCAAGGAAAAAAGAAGCAACGACGAGCUGCAAGACGCCCGGAAAGCGCUAAUAGAUAUCUUGCAGAAUUUUAACUCGAAUGGACAAGCACACAUACGUGUUAAAAGAAUGGGCGAGCUUGACCCGAAACAAUUUCCAAACGCUUGCAAACAGGAUUUAUUGCAAGAGGAUGCACAAGUUGAUUCUGCUCUCCUUUGUUCGAAAUGGGAAGCUCGAAUUGCAGACCCAAACUGGCACCCUUUCGAGGUCCGCAUGAUUGAUGGUAAAGCGAAGGAAAUUCUGCUAGAGGAUGAUGUUAAGCUUCAGGAGUUAAAAGGGCACGGUGAAGAAAUAUACGCUUUAGUAAUGAAGGCGCUGUUUGAAAUUAACGAGUACAACCCCAGUGGCCGUAUUCCUAUGCCGGAGCUGUGGAACUACAAGGAUGAUCGGAGAGCAACACUGGAAGAAGCCAUCAAGUAUAUCCUGAAAUCACGCAAGAGGAAGCGCUGA